rnacentral:lncRNA from 1 species
UAGGUGACCUCACAGUGACUCAAGCUACCACUUACUGUUGAUUGUGACGAAAUGCCAGCUGAGGCACAUGCCUUGGGAGCUAAGUGGUUGCUGCCCUUGACCACUGUGAAGACUGGUGUGGGAAGGGUCGCUUUGGAUGCACUUGAGCAGGGGUCCCCAACCCCUGAGCCAUGGAGCCGCAAGGAGCCACACAGCAGGAGGUGGGACCAUCCAGUUGCAGGAAAACAAGCUUAACACGCCCACUAAUUCUACAUUAUGCUGCAGGACAAGUUCGAGCAUCUUAAAAUGAUUCAACAGGAGGAGAUAAGGAAGCUCGAGGAAGAGAAAAAACAACUGGAAGGAGAAAUCAUAGAUUUUUAUAAAAUGAAAGCUGCCUCUGAAGCACUGCAGACUCAGCUGAGCACCGAUACAAAGAAAGACAAACAUCGUAAGAAGCAAUAGUUUCUCUUACUAUUCUGAGAGCCUUAUCAUUCUACAUCCCAUCUUCCUGUGAGUUUGUCUUUGUAGCAUUUAACUCUAAUUGCAGUUCUCAUUUUAAAAACUGGCUUGCUUAUUGUAUAUUUUCCCCAACUAAAGCGUGAACUCCUAGCAGGGCGUGGUGGCUCAUGCCUGUAAUCUCAGCACUGUGGGAGGCC